UACGAAGGGGACUAGCGUUGUUCGGAAUUACUGGGCGUAAAGCGCACGUAGGCGGAUUUGUAAGUCAGGGGUGAAAUCCCGGGGCUCAACCUCGGAACUGCCUUUGAUACUGCAAAUCUCGAGUCCGAUAGAGGUGGGUGGAAUUCCUAGUGUAGAGGUGAAAUUCGUAGAUAUAGGAAGAACACCGGUGGCGAAGGCGGCCCACUGGAUCGGUACUGACGCUGAGGUGCGAAAGCGUGGGGAGCAAACAGG
rnacentral:rRNA from 1 species